rnacentral:ncRNA from 1 species
ACUCUAGUUUGACCUUGUGAAAAGACAUAUCGGGUGUAGAAUAGGUGGGAGCUCUAGCGACGUUGAAAUACCACUGCCUUCAUCGUUUUUUUUACAUAUUCAAUGAAGUGGAACUGGGCUUCACCGCCCAACUUCUAGCGUUACGGUCCCUCGCGGACCGGCCCGGGUUGAAGACAUUGUCAGGCGGGGAGU